rnacentral:miRNA from 1 species
CUCUUGUGUGGUGGUGGUGGUGGCGGCGGCCUCACUGUCAAUCCACUCCAGUACCUGAUGCAGCCCCGACCCUCACAG